rnacentral:rRNA from 1 species
GUGCCAGACUCCUACGGGAGGCAGCAGUGGGGAAUAUUGCACAAUGGGGGGAACCCUGAUGCAGCGACGCCGCGUGGGUGAAGGAGCACCUCGGUGCGUAAAGCCCUAUCGGCAGGGAAGAAAAGCGAACAGGUUCGCCUGGACGGUACCUGACUAAGAAGCCCCGGCUAACUACGUGCCAGCAGCCGCGGGAAUACGUAGGGGGCAAGCGUUAUCCGGAUUCACUGGGUGUAAAGGGAGCGUAGACGGCAAUGCAAGCCAGGAGUGAAAGCCCGGGGCCCAACCCCGGGACUGCUCUUGGAACUGCAUGGCUGGAGUACAGGAGGGGCAGGCGGAAUUCCUAGUGUAGCGGUGAAAUGCGUAGAUAUUAGGAGGAACACCAGUGGCGAAGGCGGCCUGCUGGACUGCAACUGACGUUGAGGCUCGAAAGCGUGGGGAGCAAACAGGAUUAGAUACCCCGGUACC